GAUGAAGAACGUAGCAAAAUGCGAUAAGUAAUGUGAAUUGCAGAAUUCAGUGAAUCAUCGAAUCUUUGAUCGCACAUUGCGCCCGCCAGUAUUCUGGCGGGCAUGCCUGUUCGAGCGUCAUUUCAACCCUCAAGCCCCCGGGUUUGGUGUUGGGGAUCGGGCUGUACUCCAGCCCGGCCCCGAAAUCUAGUGGCGGUCUCGCUGCAGCCUCCAUUGCGUAGUAGCUAACACCUCGCAACUGGAACGCGGCGCGGCCAAGCCGUUAAACCCCCAACUUCUGAAUGUUGACCUCGGAUCAGGUAGGAAUACCCGCUGAACUUAAGCAUAUCAAUAAGCGGAGGA
rnacentral:misc_RNA from 1 species